rnacentral:snRNA from 1 species
UAACUCUGGUGUCUCUUCAUUUGCGGAUAAAUCUUUGGCCUUUUACUAAAGAUUUCCGUGGAAAGGCGCACAAUACAACGAGUCUUAUCUCAUUUUUUUUCAGCUCUGCCUUCUGACAGAGUA